rnacentral:rRNA from 1 species
GAUGCAGGUUACCCGCGACAGGACGGAAAGACCCCGUGGAGCUUUACUGUAGUCUGAUAUUGAAAUUCGGUACAGCUUGUACAGGAUAGGUAGGAGCCUUAGAUACGUGAGCGCUAGCUUACGUGGAGGCGUUGGUGGGAUACUACCCUCGCUGUAUUGGAUUUCUAACCCGCACCAUUAAUCAUGGUGGGAGACAGUGUCAGAUGGACAGUUUGACUGGGGCGGUCGCCUCCUAAAGAGUAACGGAGGCGCUCAAAGGUUUCCUCAGAAUGGUUGGAAAUCAUUCAUAGAGUGUAAAGGCACAAGGAAGCUUGACUGCGAGACUUACAAGUCGAGCAGGGUCGAAAGACGGACUUAGUGAUCCGGUGGUUCCGCAUGGAAGGGCCAUCGCUCAACGGAUAAAAGCUACCCCGGGGAUAACAGGCUUAUCUCCCCCAAGAGUUCACAUCGACGGGGAGGUUUGGCACCUCGAUGUCGGCUCAUCGCAUCCUGGGGCUGUAGUCGGUCCCAAGGGUUGGGCUGUUCGCCCAUUAAAGCGGUACGCGAGCUGGGUUCAGAACGUCGUGAGACAGUUCGGUCCCUAUCCGUCGUGGGCGUAGGAAAUUUGAGAGGAGCUGUCCUUAGUACGAGAGGACCGGGAUGGACAUACCUCUGGUGUACCAGUUGUCGUGCCAACGGCAUCGCUGGGUAGCUAUGUAUGGACGGGAUAAGUGCUGAAAGCAUCUAAGCAUGAAGCCCCCCUCAAGAUGAGAUUUCCCAACUUCGGUUAUAAGAUCCCUCAAAGAUGAUGAGGUUAAUAGGUUCGAGGUGGAAGCAUAGCGAUAUGUGGAGCUGACGAAUACUAAUCGAUCGAAGACUUAAUCAAAUU